ACUACGGGAGGCAGCAGUGAGGAAUAUUGGUCAAUGGGCGCGAGCCUGAACCAGCCAAGUCGCGUGAGGGAGGACGGCCCUACGGGUUGUAAACCUCUUUUGCCGGGGAGCAACGGGCGUCACGUGUUGCGCCACUGAGAGUACCCGGAGAAAAAGCAUCGGCUAACUCCGUGCGAGCAGCCGCGGUAAUACGGAGUAUGCGAGCGUUAUCCGGAUUUAUUGGGUUUAAAGGUUGCGUAGGCGGACUGUUCAGUCACCGGUAAAAGUCUGGGGCUAAACCCCGGAGAGACGUGGAAACGGGCUGUCUUGAGAGGUCGAGAGGUAGGCGGAAUGCGCAGUGUAGCGGUGAAAUGCUGAGAUAUUGCGCAGAACGCCGAUUGCGAAGGCAGCAUACCGGCGGCGAUCUGACGCUGAGGCACGAAAGCGUGGGUAUCGAACAGGAUUAGAUACCCCAGUAGUC
rnacentral:rRNA from 1 species